rnacentral:rRNA from 1 species
UACGUAGGGGGCUAGCGUUGUCCGGAUUUAUUGGGCGUAAAGAGCGUGUAGGCGGCCAGGUAGGUCUGCUGUGAAAACUCGAGGCUCAACCUCGAGACGUCGGCGGAAACCAUAUGGCUAGAGUCCGGAAGAGGAGAGUGGAAUUCCUGGUGUAGCGGUGAAAUGCGCAGAUAUCAGGAAGAACACCCGUGGCUAAGGCGGCUCUCUAGUACGGUACUGACGCUGAGACGCGAAAGCGUGGGGAGCGAACAGG